AUUGAACGCUGGCGGCAUGCUUUACACAUGCAAGUCGAACGGCAGCGCGGGCUUCGGCCUGGCGGCGCGUGGCGAACGGGUGAGUAAUGCAUCGGAACGUGCCCAGUAGUGGGGGAUAGCCCGGCGAAAGCCGGAUUAAUACCGCAUACGACCUGAGGGUGAAAGCGGGGGACCGAAAGGCCUCGCGCGAUUGGAGCGGCCGAUGUCGGAUUAGCUAGUUGGUGGGGUAAAGGCUUACCAAGGCGACGAUCCGUAGCUGGUCUGAGAGGGCGACCAGCCACACUGGGACUGAGACACGGCCCAGACUCCUACGGGAGGCAGCAGUGGGGAAUUUUGGACAAUGGGGGCAACCCUGAUCCAGCCAUGCCGCGUGCGGGAAGAAGGCCUUCGGGUUGUAAACCGCUUUUGUUCGGGAAGAAAUCCUCUGGGCUAAUACCCCGGGGGGAUGACGGUACCGGAAGAAUAAGCACCGGCUAACUACGUG
rnacentral:rRNA from 1 species